rnacentral:tRNA from 1 species
GCUAAUAGGGCUGCAAUGGCAGGGCGCUUUGAUAUAGCGCUAGUUAAAGGUUAUUCUUUCGUUAGUA